rnacentral:rRNA from 1 species
GUGUGGGAGGAAGUCCUUCGGGAUGUAAACCACUGUCAGUAGCUACCAAGUGAGGCGGAUGAAUAGUCCGCCGAGUUGAGGAGCUGCAGAGGAAGCCACGGCUAACUUCGUGCCAGCAGCCGCGGUAAGACGAAGGUGGCAAGCGUUGUUCGGAAUCACUGGGCUUAAAGCGCACGCAGGCGGCUGAUCAAGUGCCUUGUGAAAUCCCUCGGCCCAACCGAGGAAUUGCUUGGUAGACUGACCAGCUUGAGGCAGGUAUGGGCGAGUGGAACUCUUGGUGGAGCGGUGAAAUGCGUAGAUAUCAAGAGGAACGCCGGUGGUGAAGACGACUCGCUGGGCCUGUCCUGACGCUGAGGUGCGAAAGCCAGGGGAGCAAACGGGAUUAGAUACCCCGGUAGUCCUGGCCCUAAACUAUGUCUACUAGGUCGGAGUCACUCUGACGUGUUUCUGGCCGAAAUAAAAACGUUAAGUAGACCGCCUGGGGAGUACGGUCGCAAGGCUA